GAUAAUGUCUUUCUCUCCUUAAAAAGUAAAAUGUAUAAUAUAAAGUGGGUUCAGUGAUUUGGAGAUGCCUGGUUGUGACUUCUGCCACUAUAAUAGGGAGAUUGGAAACAGUAUUCUUACAAGUGUUUUCAGUGGUGAUCUCUAUAUCGGGUUCAGUGAAGUACUCUGACGCAACACAUCUCCCGUUUUCUGAUCCUGAGAGGAAAACACACGCACAGACACACAGGAAAAAAAGGAAAAUGUUGGGGUUUGCUUUUAGGAUCAACGUCAGUGAUGCAUGAAGAAACAAAACAAAACCCCUAAAAAAGGAUGUGGGUCCUCUGCAGUCCUGCUCACAGCCACGAAGCAAACUCUCCAGAGGCCUGAAUGCAGCGCCAUCUUCACCUCCAUGCUCUGGUUCUGCUGUAGGAUGAUGCCCUCCACCAUGAUCAGCCAGUAGUCCGUGGACACGGCCACCCCCACCAGCAGCAGCCCGCAGGCUCCAAACACUGUGGACAGGAUGGUCAACGCACGGCUGCUGCACGAACUCAUCUGUAGGGCAGAACGAAGGGAGGGAAGGGUGUUAGAAGAGAAGAGGAAUUACACGUCAAAAGUGUAGAGACAAAAAUGUACUGUAGGUAAAUUUGGAAGGGGUCAUGGAGGGAGGUCAUUAGGAACGAGGGAAACACUGAGACAGACAUGUGAUGUGCACACAUGUGAACAGCUACUGGCCAUCUUCCUGUCUCGCCUUAUUAUUGCUAAAGAUGAGUUAGUGACACAUCCGGUGGCAACCAAUCCUGUUAAAGGUCAGAGAGGAGUCAAAGCAACAGAUGAUGACUUCACGGUAAACCGCUGAAGUUAAGCAAGGACUGAAAAAAAAAGAUAGAUAACAGAAACACACACACACACACACACACACACACACACACACACACAGAUCAGGGAAGGGAGGAGGGGUCCUGUGUGACUCACGCAUGGUCUUUCUGUGACUUAGUUCUGGUUGACUGGGAAAGACUUUGCUGCAAAUCCUUUGAGCAUGCUGUCUGUAUGCAUUUGUGAGUUUCUGUUUGUGUGUCUGUGUGUUUGUAUCUCUCUCUCUCUCUGUGUGUGUGUGUGUGUGUGUGUGUGUGUGCGUGAUUGUUCAGGCCUCUGCUUAACCACUGUUCAGUAUCAUCAGAUUUACGACUAAUGGACAACAAAUGCAUAUAGAAAACCCAGAGCAAGGGUGAUGUUUACUGUAAUCACCCUCAUUUAGUUGAAUUAUUCCAUGUAUUAAGUGUUACACUGGGAGGAUCGUUACUGUAAUGCAACUGACCUGUCAUUUCACCUCAUAUCUUCCUUUGUAACAGGUUAGCUUCACUUUUGCUUUGAUUAAUUUCAGAUGUUGUGUUUCUCUUUUGUGGUAAUUUACUUGUUUUAUCAUACAUGUCACAUGUACUAGGUUUUUACAAUAUGUUUUAAUUAGGUUUUUUAUCCAGGUUUAUACAUCUAGUGCACAUAUAAUCAGGCAUUACUAGCUAGAACAACAGGACCCACUUUAAUAAUUUCAGCAGGAGCUUGGCCCAUGAUCAUAGCAUCUCUCAGUGGCAGCAAAUAUUUUGUCUGUGCAUGCCUGCUGUGAAUAUCACACUGUAUCUCACAGACUGUGCAGCCCAUUUAAGUGCACUAAAGUCACUUUAAAUUAAAUGUGACACUGUAAUAACUGGCUGUAGGAGCCCAAUUAUAGCCAUGAAGGAAUCUGCCUGCUCUGCAACAAGGUGUAAAUACACACUGACAUUCAACCUAUUCAAUAGUGGCCCAAUGAGUAGCAAGAAAACAUUUCUUUCACCAUCAUGCAUACUGUGCUGUUUACAGCCUGAACUCUGGACAAAAGGCAGAACAGAGCUUUUACACCAAAGUCUGGCCCUUAAUGUCACAAAAUAAUUGAUAUCUGUCGUAGCACGGGGUGUUUUUCACUGCUCACUCAUCUCGUUUUGGUGAUUGUGUAACCACUCAAGUUUCACUGUCUUGUUCUUACAGUACCUGACAGGAGUGAAAUCAGGCAUGUUCUUCUGCGGAUGUAACACAGCUGCAUUAAGGUUUGAAAAAACGUGUUUCAGCUUUUCCUCUGCAUAUCAGCAUUGUGCUGAGCUGUUAUUUGCAUACUUGUGGCCUGCCUGUCAUUAUUAAAACGUUCACAGUGCAGCAGCUCACCAGAUUCUUAUUCUAGUUUCCUGUAUUAUUGUUUAUAAAUCAUCACCAGGUCAAAUAUUCAAAGCCUCAUUUUAACAUACAUUACAUUUAGUCAGACACUGAACUUCUGUACCUUGUUGCUGUCUUAUGGAGUGAGCUAUUUGAAUAAAAUGUAUCGUAAAAGA